rnacentral:rRNA from 1 species
AUUGAACGCGGGCGGCAGGCUUAACACAUGCAAGUCGAGCGGGGUGAUGGUGCUUGCACUAUCACUUAGCGGCGGACGGGUGAGUAACGCGUGGGAAUAUGCCUUUUGGUUCGGAAUAACUCAGGGAAACUUGUGCUAAUACCGGAUAAGCCCGUAAGGGGAAAGAUUUAUCGCCGAAAGAGUAGCCCGCGUCUGAUUAGCUAGUUGGUGAGGUAAUGGCUCACCAAGGCGACGAUCAGUAGCUGGUCUGAGAGGAUGACCAGCCACACUGGGACUGAGACACGGCCCAGACUCCUACGGGAGGCAGCCGUGGGGAAUAUUGGACAAUGGGCGCAAGCCUGAUCCAGCCAUGCCGCGUGAGUGAUGAAGGCCUUCGGGUUGUAAAGCUCUUUCGCUAGGGACGAUAAUGACGGUACCUAGACUAGAAGCCCCGGCUAACUUCGUGCCAGCCGCCGCGGUAA